AGAGUUUGAUCCUGGCUCAGAUUGAACGCUGGCGGCAUGCUUUACACAUGCAAGUCGAACGGCAGCACGGGAGCUUGCUCCUGGUGGCGAGUGGCGAACGGGUGAGUAAUAUAUCGGAACGUAUCCAAUAAUGGGGGAUAACUAAUAGAAAUGUUAGCUAAUACCGCAUACGCCCUGAGGGGGAAAGCAGGGGAUCUUCGGACCUUGCGUUAAUGGAGCGGCUGAUAUCUGAUUAGCUAGUUGGUGAGGUAAAGGCUCACCAAGGCGACGAUCAGUAGCUGGUCUGAGAGGACGACCAGCCACACUGGAACUGAGACACGGUCCAGACUCCUACGGGAGGCAGCAGUGGGGAAUUUUGGACAAUGGGCGCAAGCCUGAUCCAGCCAUGCCGCGUGAGUGAAGAAGGCCUUCGGGUUGUAAAGCUCUUUCGCGAGGGAAGAAAAGGUUACAGAUAAUACCUGUGGCCCAUGACGGUACCUUGAUAAGAAGCACCGGCUAACUACGUGCCAGCAGCCGCGGUAAU
rnacentral:rRNA from 1 species